rnacentral:rRNA from 1 species
UACGAAGGGGGCUAGCGUUGUUCGGAAUUACUGGGCAUAAAGCGCGCGCAGGCGGCCUUUCAAGUCAGGGGUGAAAGCCCGGAGCUCAACUCCGGAAUUGCCUUUGAAACUGUCAGGCUCGAGUACGGGAGAGGUGAGUGGAAUUCCCAGUGUAGAGGUGAAAUUCGUAGAUAUUGGGAAGAACACCGGUGGCGAAGGCGGCUCACUGGCCCGUUUCUGACGCUCAGGCGCGACAGCGUGGGGAUCAAACAGG